CUCUCUCUCUUCUCUCUAGUGUAGUUGCCUCCCUCUCAAGAGAAUCUAGAGGAAGGGGGGCACGUCCCUCAAGCCCUAGCCAUCCUAGGGUUUGGAUGAGGGAGGCACCCCAAAAAGGUGGGCGCCAUCCAGUUUCUUGCCGCCCCAAGGUGUGGCCACCUAAGGCAUGGUUUGCCCUCUAUCUCCAUGCCCAAGAGAGGGUUGUGGAGGUGUUCUUACUGCUGGUUGCCAUGGAGAUCAGACCUUCAAGCAUAGGAUUUGUGGCCGCUCCAGGUGGAGUAGUUUCCGACUCCGAGAGGGUGCCACAAAGUACUGCGGUUCAUAAGUUUUUGUGUCUCCAAUGAUUUUCUGCACCAAGACUCUUUCCAAAAAAGAUUGUUGCUGAUCUCCAUAUCCCCAUACAGGUGAGAAGAUCUUCAACAAUUGGUAUCAGAGCUAGGAAGGGUGUGGA
rnacentral:lncRNA from 1 species